rnacentral:misc_RNA from 1 species
CGCACAUUGCGCCCUAUAGUAUUCUGUAGGGCAUGCCUGUUCGAGCGUCAUUUAACCCCUCAAGCUCAGCUUGGUAUUGGGUGCUUGUCCCGCCUCCUGCGCGGCGACUCACCUCAAAGUCAUUGGCAGCCCGCAAUCGCCGGCCGUGAGCGCAGCACAGACGCGCUUGUGGAAUCCGGCGGCUCGGCUCUCCAAAAGCUUAUUUCAACCACAAUUGACCUCGGAUCAGGUAGGGAUACCCGCUGAACUUAA